rnacentral:rRNA from 1 species
CGGAGUGCCUAUCACCAGCCGCGUUGUGAGAAGGCCUUCGGGUUGUAAAGACAACAGCAGUGAGGAAGGUUGGCGUGUUAAUAGCACAUUGAUUUGACGUUAGCUGCAGAAGAAGCACCGGCUAACUCCGUGCCAGCAGCCGCGGUAAUACGGAGGGUGCGAGCGUUAAUCGGAAUUACUGGGCGUAAAGCGCAUGCAGGCGGUUUGUUAAGCAAGAUGUGAAAGCCCCGGGCUCAACCUGGGAACCGCAUUUUGAACUGGCAGGCUAGAGUCUUGUAGAGGGGGGUAGAAUUUCAGGUGUAGCGGUGAAAUGCGUAAAGAUCUGAAGGAAUACCGGUGGCGAAGGCGGCCCCCUGGACAAAGACUGACGCUCAGAUGCGAAAGCGUGGGGAGCAAACAGGAUUAGAUACCCUGGUAGUCCACGCUGUAAACGAUGUCUACUUGGAGGUUGUGACCUAGAAUCGUGGCUUUCGGAGCUAACGCGUUAAGUAAACCGCCUGGGGAGUACGGUCGCAAGAUUAAAACUCAAAUGAAAUUGACGG